rnacentral:rRNA from 1 species
CAGCAGCCGGCGGUAAUACGUAGGGUGCAAGCGUUAAUCGGAAUUACUGGGCGUAAAGCGUGCGCAGGCGGUUAUAUAAGACAGAUGUGAAAUCCCCGGGCUCAACCUGGGAACUGCAUUUGUGACUGUAUAGCUAGAGUACGGCAGAGGGGGAUGGAAUUCCGCGUGUAGCAGUGAAAUGCGUAGAUAUGCGGAGGAACACCGAUGGCGAAGGCAAUCCCCUGGGCCUGUACUGACGCUCAUGCACGAAAGCGUGGGGAGCAAACAGGAUUAGAUACCCCCGUAGUCCCUGUCUCUUAUA